rnacentral:tRNA from 1 species
GGCCUGAUAGUUAAACGGAUAUAACAAGGGUCUUCUAAACCCUAGUUCGAGGUUCGAUUCCUCGUCGGGCUA